AGCGAACGCUGGCGGCAGGCCUAACACAUGCAAGUCGAACGAAGUCUUCGGACUUAGUGGCGGACGGGUGAGUAACACGUGGGAACGUGCCUUUAGGUUCGGAAUAACUCAGGGAAACUUGUGCUAAUACCGAAUGUGCCCUUCGGGGGAAAGAUUUAUCGCCUUUAGAGCGGCCCGCGUCUGAUUAGCUAGUUGGUGAGGUAAAGGCUCACCAAGGCUACGAUCAGUAGCUGGUCUGAGAGGAUGACCAGCCACAUUGGGACUGAGACACGGCCCAAACUCCUACGGGAGGCAGCAGUGGGGAAUCUUGCGCAAUGGGAGAAAGCUUGACGCAGCCAUGCCGCGUGGAUGAUGAAGGUCUUAGGAUUGUAAAAUCCUUUCACCGGUGAAGAUAAUGACUGUAGCCGGAGAAGAAGCCCCGGCUAACUUCGUGCCAGCCGCCGCAGUAACAC
rnacentral:rRNA from 1 species